rnacentral:rRNA from 1 species
UACGGGGGGGGCAAGCGGUUGUUCGGAAUUACUGGGCGUAAAGGGCUCGUAGGCGGCCAACUAAGUCCGACGUGAAAUCCCUCGGCUUAACCGGGGAACUGCGUCUGAUACUGGAUGGCUUGAGUGUGGGAGAGGGAUGCGGAAUUCCAGGUGGAGCGGUGAAAUGCGUAGAGAUCUGGAAGAACACCGAAGGCGAAGGCAGCAUCCUGGAGCGUUACUGACGCUGAUGUGCGAAAGCUAGGGGAGCGAACGGG